rnacentral:rRNA from 1 species
AGCGGCGGACGGCUGAGUAACGCGUGGGAACGUGCCCCAAAGUGAGGAAUAACUGCCCGAAAGGGUGGCUAAUGCCGCAUAUGAUCUUCGGAUUAAAGUCUUCGGACGCUUUGGGAGCGGCCCGCGUCGGAUUAGGUUGUUGGUGAGGUAAUGCUCACCAAGCUGACGAUCCGUAGCUGGUCUGAGAGGAUGAUCAGCCAGACUGGGACUGAGACACGGCCCAGACUCCUACGGGAGGCAGCAGUGAGGAAUCUUCCACAAUGGGCGAAAGCCUGAUGGAGCAACGCCGCGUGAAGGAUGAAGGCCCUCGGGUUGUAAACUUCUUUUAUAAGUGAAGAAUAUGACGGUAACUUAUGAAUAAGCACCGGCUAACUACGUGCCAGCAGCCGCGGUCAUACGUAGGGUGCAAGCAUUAUCCGGAGUGACUGGGCGUAAAGAGUUGCGUAGGUGGUUUGUUAAGUGAGUAGUGAAAGCCAGCGGCUCAACCGUAUGGAUUAUUAUUCAAACUGGCAAACUCGAGAAUGGUAGAGGUAACUGGAAUUUCUUGUGUAGGAGUGAAAUCCGUAGAUAUAAGAAGGAACACCAAUGGCGUAGGCAGGUUACUGGACCAUUUCUGACACUAAGGCACGAAAGCGUGGGGAGCGAACGGGAUUAGAUACCCCGGUAGUCCACGCCGUAAACGAUGGAUACUAGCUGUUGGAGGUAUCGACCCCUUCAGUAGCGAAGCUAACGCGAUAAGUAUCCCGCCUGUGGAGUACGGUCGCAAGACUAAAACAUAAAGGAAUUGACGGGGACCCGCA